GAGAACAAUUCUCAAUUGCCUGGCCUGAAUGAUCCUGAAGCUGAGAAGCAGCAACAGUAUCACAAUUCGUUCAGUAACAGCACACGUCGUCGUCGGGGCAACCUGGAUGGACGGUCGACGGCGAGGUGGUGGUGCCCUGGACGGGCGACCGGCGGUGCUGCCCCUGGAUGGAUGGCUGGCAGGCCAGCAGUCCCCCGGAUAGGCGGCCGGCGGAGCCCUGGACGGAUGGCCGGUGAAGCCCUGGACGGCCGGCCGGCGGACGGAGCUGGCGCGAGGAGCUCCCAAAACCCUAGCCUGGCGGCGUGGGCGCUGCUUCUCGCGAGAAAGAAAACGGCGCGAGGAAGGAGCAAGAAGGAAAAGGAGGCGGGCGGAAAAAAAAUGGCGCGGACGGUAAAAAAAAAUUGGCGCGAUUGGUGGGAAUGGGAGGGCGUACCGCUUCCCAAAUUCUGA
rnacentral:lncRNA from 1 species